GAGGAGUUACGGUGACUAUGGUGGCGCCGUCUUUUGCGACACAUGCGUUUUCGAUGAACCAGAGGUUGUUGGUGCUGGAAACGGCAAGGGCGGUGGCUGCGGAGAGCACGUAUGAGGUGUUGGCGAUGGCGCCGGCGUCCGGAAUUUUGGCGCCGGCGGGGUGGUAUAUGGUGUUUGUGGUGAAAGAUGAAGUUCCGAGUGAGGGGAUAUG
rnacentral:misc_RNA from 1 species